rnacentral:rRNA from 1 species
ACGGAAGGCAGCAGUGGGGAAUAUUGGACAAUGGGCGCAAGCCUGAUCCAGCGACGCCGCGUGAGUGAAGAAGUAUUUCGGUAUGUAAAGCUCUAUCAGCAGGGAAGAUAAUGACGGUACCUGACUAAGAAGCCCCGGCUAACUACGUGCCAGCAGCCGCGGUAAUACGUAGGGGGCAAGCGUUAUCCGGAUUUACUGGGUGUAAAGGGAGCGUAGACGGUUUGGCAAGUCUGAAGUGAAAUGCGGGGGCUCAACUCCUGAACUGCUUUGGAAACUGUCGAACUAGAGUGCAGGAGAGGUAAGUGGAAUUCCUAGUGUAGCGGUGAAAUGCGUAGAUAUUAGGAGGAACACCAGUGGCGAAGGCGGCUUACUGGACUGUAACUGACGUUGAGGCUCGAAAGCGUGGGGAGCAAACAGGAUUAGAUACCCUGGUA